CGAACGCUGGCGGCAGGCUUAACACAUGCAAGUCGAGCGAGAUCUUCGGAUCUAGCGGCGGACGGGUGAGUAACGCGUGGGAACGUGCCCUUUGCUACGGAAUAGUCCCGGGAAACUGGGUUUAAUACCGUAUACGCCCUUCGGGGGAAAGAUUUAUCGGCAAAGGAUCGGCCCGCGUUGGAUUAGGUAGUUGGUGGGGUAAUGGCCUACCAAGCCGACGAUCCAUAGCUGGUUUGAGAGGAUGAUCAGCCACACUGGGACUGAGACACGGCCCAGACUCCUACGGGAGGCAGCAGUGGGGAAUCUUAGACAAUGGGGGCAACCCUGAUCUAGCCAUGCCGCGUGAGUGAUGAAGGCCUUAGGGUUGUAAAGCUCUUUCAGCUGGGAAGAUAAUGACGUACCAGCAGAAGAGCC
rnacentral:rRNA from 1 species